ACCAUACCAGAAGGACUACAUGUAGUAGAUUGGGUUAGACAGAAGAGGGGAGGAAUUGAAGUACUAGACCCUUGCUUACUAUCUCGACCUGAACCAGAAAUAGAUGAGAUGAUGCAAGCCUUUGGUAUAGCCUUAUUGUGUGUAAAUUCCUCCCCUGAUGAAAGACCAACCAUGAAAGAUGUGGCUGCAAUGCUUAAGGAGAUCAAGCAUGAAAGAGAGGAGUAUGCGAAGGUUGAUAUGCUCCUUAAAGGAUCUCCUGCAACUGACACAGAAAACAGGAACUCAAGCAGUGCAGUUCCAGCAACUUCGUCAUCAAAGUCAACAGUGCAAACUUUAUAUCCCAAAAGCAAUAACUCAAGCUUCUCUGCUUCCUCAUUGCUUUACUCAUCUUCCUCUAAUGCCAAAGUGGGUUUCAAGUGAUAAAUUCUAGAUGCUGCACAUUCAUGUAGAGGGGAAGCUUGUUUUCUUACAUGUUUGGUAACUUUUUGUUCUUCUUAAUGUAAAGAAAAGGUUGAUAUAUUUGUUUUGACUAAAUGCAAAACAACAAAUAGAGCCAAGAAUUGCAGGAUUUGGCUUUUGGUGUAAUGUUAGAUACAAGAAGAUAAUCUUCUGCUUUCUUGAAUCUUCCAAAUUCUAAUUUGCAAAUAUUGUCUCUAGCCUAGAUAACAAGAAAUAUGGGAUGUAAGAAUCAAGCACUUCAGCUCCUCCAAUACUGAUUUCUG
rnacentral:misc_RNA from 1 species